rnacentral:rRNA from 1 species
GAUGAACGCUGGCGGCGUGCUUAACACAUGCAAGUCGAACGGAAAGGCUCCUGCUUGCAGGGGCACUCGAGUGGCGAACGGGUGAGUAACACGUGGGUGAUCUGCCCUGCACUUCGGGAUAAGCCUGGGAAACUGGGUCUAAUACCGGAUAGGACCAUCGUUUAGUGUCGGUGGUGGAAAGUUUUUUCGGUGUGGGAUGAGCUCGCGGCCUAUCAGCUUGUUGGUGGGGUAAUGGCCUACCAAGGCGUCGACGGGUAGCCGGCCUGAGAGGGUGUACGGCCACAUUGGGACUGAGAUACGGCCCAGACUCCUACGGGAGGCAGCAGUGGAGAAUAUUGCACAAUGGGCGCAAGCCUGAUGCAGCGACGCCGCGUGGGGGAUGACGGCCUUCGGGUUGUAAACUCCUUUCGCCAGGGACGAAGCGAAAGUGACGGUACCUGGAUAAGAAGCACCGGCUAACUACGUG